GAAUCUUUAGUCUCCAUCAUUUUACCUUAUGGUAACAAGAACUUCAAAGCUGAUCUCUUUGCCUUGGUCAUCUAAAAAUAUGUAUCAGUAUGAUAGAGAAGCAUUGCUAGCAUCUGAUAUGGGUCUGAAGCUAAACAGACAACCUACUGAGUUUUUCUGUAAGACGCUUACAGCGAGUGACACCAGCACUCACGGUGGGUUCUCUGUACCACGCCGUGCAGCUGAGAAAAUCUUCCCUCCUCUUGUACGCCUCUGACCAAAAAAGGCUACUCUUAAAAAUUGUUUUCGUCUCUUAUGCUUUUACUGAAGUUCUGAGGAUAUGCAUGAAACAGGACUUCUCCAUGCAACCACCUGCACAAGAGAUUGUAGCUAAAGAUUUACACGACACUACAUGGACCUUCAGACAUAUCUACCGAGGUAUGAAUCCAUAUCAAGAAAUUGGUUUAUAAAAACUCGAAAUCUGAUUAGUUGUCUGAUCACAGGCCAACCAAAAAGACAUUUGCUCACCACAGGCUGGAGCGUUUUCGUUAGCACAAAGAGACUA
rnacentral:lncRNA from 1 species